GCCGUCGUCGGCCUCUCGCCAUAUUUUGUGCUCUCUACUCUUGGCGGCACUCUCUCACUUUAUAUAUUUCUUUGCUUGUGUGUGUGUGCUGCGAACACUUCGACGAGCGUCGAUCGACGUUGCUGGGGGGAGAGACACAGCGCGGAACGAAGUACCGUCGGCAAGAAGCUCAUCGGAGGUCAGCAACAGCCGCCUUUAGAGGAAGCGGCAGCGAAAGAUGGGCAACCGUGUGUCUACUGCGGCCGCCCCCUUCUCCCUCGAGGAUCUCGAGGCGUUGGCGCGCGCCCCAUCGCUCUUCGACACGCUCCCCAACGAUGCCGGUAACUCUGCUGGCAGUGGCGCUAGUGCGCUGUUUCGCAAGGAGAUAAUAGCGGAGAUGGAGCGGCAGUACGCCGAGUGCGACACAUCGCUUCAUGCGCUGCGCUGCGUGCUAGACCGAAGGGGCACCCGCCAUCGCCUUGGUUCCUACGAAGCAACGACUUCACCGGCGCCAAGCGGUGGUGCACCGAAGGCGAUAUCCGAUCAAGGGUGGGGCAAACAGUCAGCAGGCGCCUCCAUCCCAUCUUUGGCCGACACCAUGACGACAAACCGCAGUGGACCAACUCAAGACUUACUGCAGAGUCCGCGCGAGCUUCAUGGCUCUCGUCACAGCGACCCGAAUGAGGUGGCGGACAGCGGUGAAGCAGCCACUGCUGCUGCGAUAGCAGCAGAUCGCUCCUUGCCGAACGCGAACGACGACAGCUUCCCCCAGCGCCCCGCGAGCAGUCGUUUAGGGGCGCUGCCCGAAUCGGCGCCGGCUGAGACGCCACUAUCACCGCACUCGUGGCUGUUCCGCGAGGUGUCCGUGCAGCCCGUCGAUCUCACGCGCCACGCCGAGGUCCAGGCGGCGGAGGUAUACGUUCUCGUUAUCGUUCAGCGAUCAACAAUGCUGAGGACGCCGCCGACCAGCACGACGCCAGCAACACCGUUCGUAAGCGUUACGAACACCCGAUCAGCUACCCCGCCACCUUCCUCUCCUUCAGCCGCCACCCCCAGCGGUGCUGCGCGAUCGGUGGCAACCAGCGCAGCGAUGAGCGCCAACACGAACACUGAGUGGCCGCGAGACAUGGUGCAGCUCUUUACCCCGCGCGGCCUCACGACACCGUUCUCGAGUGACAUGACGCGACCGACUCUCGCCAACAUCAGCCACGGCAGCGGCGCCAGCUACUGGUACUCACCCUCCGCGACGCCACGAACGAACGGGUCGACAAGUGACCGCCCGACCCCGCGCAGCACUACGGCCGCUGCUGCCGCAGCGGCACCAUCGUCUGCCACAGGGAACGGGAGCGGCGCUGGAGGGUUUCCGCAGGCGUCCCCGCGCUCCACGUCCUCACAGGCGACGCCCCGCGCCACUAGCUUUCACUUCAGCGUCCACCUCCUCACGGGUAAGCAGGCAGACGCCAUGGCGGCGGCGGCCGGGUUGUUCACGGCCCGCGCCAUUGAAAAACUCUUUCUCGACUGCGCCGAGUUCGAUCGAAGACUGUUCUACAACUUAAACGCGGCCAAGGUAGAGGCCGUGAUCCGUGCCUACAGCAUGCACCCCACCCUCGACGUCACCUCUGGGUGUCACGACAACGGCAGCAACGUGAAUGCUGCUGGAAGGAAUCUGCGCAGAAGCUCCAAGGCGUCGUCGAACGUGAGCGGCGGCGGCGCUGCCUCGGCAGUGAUAACGGGCAACAGAAUGGGCAGGGAUGUGAGCGACUCCAACAGCGGUUUCGGCACCUCAAACUCGUCUCUACAGUAUCUGAUCUCCACUCUGAGGGCAUCAAGGGAACUGCGGCGGGAGCUCCUUGCCAUCACACGCCCCUCCUCGGUCGCCGUGCCCGUGAUGCGCUUCGACAAGCGAAGCAGCACCGCCACCCCCUACACCACGUCGCCGGUCAGCACCGGUUGUCACACAGGGGCAUUUGGUGGCGUCAGCGACCACGUGACCAGCACGGCGGUGUCCUCCAAUCCUGCGGAGCUGUACAGCCUGAACGCCAUCUACCGCGUCCUGAACGGGGUCCGUGUCGGCACGCCGCGGUGGAUGCACACGGGCGACGUGGCCAGCCCGCUGAACUCGGCGCAUUACUCUGUGCCCGGUAGCGCAUCCGGAGCGGCUGCAGGCGGGCCAAGCACGAGUGCAGCCCUGUUCGGAGCGGGCAACUGGUGCUCUGACCCGCUUUCGUCGUUCCAUCCACCGCGUCGCAACACACAUGGCGACGGCGCGGCCGCCGGCGCCGCUGCUGCCUCUGGCAUCAUGCCGCCGAUUCCCUCGUUGAACAUCUCCAGCUGGCUACAGGGGCCCCAGCCCCUCAAUGUGCAGCGGGCAGCACCGGCUGGUACCGCAGCCACGGGGCCCGCAGGCUCAGCACACCCCACCGCAACUGGCUCGACGACUUCCCGUAUGGGCAGACCGCUUCGACACUCCUGGACAACGCACUCAGCGUCACCCAAACCGCCACCGCUGCUGCUGCCGACGCUCGCGUCAGGCACGCCGAGCGGCGAUUGCCGCGUUGACAGCACGAUUCCGCCAGAUGCCUCGUCCGCCCCCCCAGCCACACUGACCUCUGCAACAUCUGCAACACAAACCCCCGUCUUGAGUCUCCCGCUCGACUCACUCCGCCCUGCGGCGCCAGCCGCCGCUGCCGCCGCCAAGGCACGCUCGACGCUCCGCAGCGCCUCUGCAGAGGAGGGCAGCACAGAUGCGUCCACUUUGUCCCCUCAGGCGGCAGCGGUGCCGAAACUGCAGCCGCUCAUCAACGCAGAGGAGAAAGGGCAGCGAGAGAAGGCGUUGCAGCACACUAGCGGCCCUGCUCGAGCGGCAGACCUGCCUUCCGUUCUGCGUAACCGAAAGGACAAUGCGCAGCUGGAGAGUUGCCCUGCCGAGCGUCAUCUUCACACACGGCACCAGCACCAUCGCGCCGACGGGGGCGGCCAAGGCAGGGACGAAAUUGCCAGCCGCCACAACGUCGGCACCGAGAACGUCUCGACGAGUCGCUACAGGGUAGCAUUAGCACCGCCGUUCGAAGACGACGCUGAGUGCAAUGAAGUGUACAACCAGCAGGAACGCGCGCAGCGGCUGAAGGCGUCGCAGCCGGAGGUGACGCAGGUUUUGCCGUACCUCUUUGUCGGCGGCGAGGACGCAGCGCGGGAUCGAGCGCAGCUCCUCCGAAAAGGCAUCACCCAUAUCGUGAACACCGUCAGCUGGUGCAUCGAUAGCUUCUACCCAGACCUCUUCCGGUACUUGACGCUCAGCCUGAGCGACGCCGCCGAUGAGCCGAUCUUCUCCCUCUUUGCCGUCGUAAACGCCUUCAUCGAGGACGCAGUGGAGAGGCAUCAGGGGCGAGUCUUUGUGCACUGUCAGCAGGGCGUGUCGCGUUCCUGCACGUUUGUUAUCGCCUACGUCAUGUGGAAGCAGGGGCUGUGCUACGACCGCGCCUACGAGCUCGUGCGGGCACGCCGAAACGUGUGCAAUCCAAACCUCGGCUUCUUCAUGAACCUGCGCCUGUGGGAGGCGCAGUUGUCCACGCCGCUGCUGAACAGCGUGUUUGCCUACGCCCCGUACACGUCGACGUCACCGAUGCCCUUCUCCUACCAGCUGACAGCGUACUUUGACUGCGAAACGCCCUCGACCGUCGCCGGCGCCGUCGCGUCCCGCUCUUCCUUGCCGCCGUCUCCACCCUCCCCGUGCUCUGCUGAGGGGCGGACACUUGGCUUCCUCUCUCCUCGUGACAAGGAAGCACACCAGCAGCUGCGCAGCGAUGUCCUGACGCGCGCGGCUGACAUGAGCGGUGCGCCGCCGGCGCUUCCCAACACGUUGUCACUAGACCCGCGUUUGGGCUACCUGUUUCUCUUCGCGCCUGGUGCGCGAGCUGCAGGCGAAGCCAGCAGCGCCGACGCCGGACGAUCGAAGCAGAAGGGCAAGCAGCGGCCACGGCUCUCUCGGGGCACCGAUGUGGGCCCCGGUGCUGACCCCAGCGGUGACGAAGACGUCGAUGUCGUGACGGGAUGCGUCGUCAUGGGAUCGCAGUGUCUUAAUAAAGUCUACAGUGAACGUGCCCUCGCUGCCUGCCGGCAGGUGCUGCGCUUCAGCUUUUACCACGGCGAGGCGCGCACAAGUGUCACCAACGCCGGGAAGACCGUGCACUUCAACCCGAUGCGGCAGGUGCGACUGCUGCCGGCUAUAUCACCGGCUUCGUGGCCGCGGUCCUCUUCCCCGUUCCCUGUUCCAACUGCGGCUGUGUCGGCGGAGGUAGCGCAGCGGCUGCUGUCGCUGCACGUCGCGAGUCAGGUGCGCAUUUGCUUUGCGCGGCAGUCGCAAUGGGAUGCUCUCCUCUCAAACACGCGACUUGGCGCCAUGCUGAGCUGCUAUACCGCCGAGGAGGAUCGGCUGGACGCCAGCGAAGGGGUGCGGCGGCACGCACGUGAAGGGGCUACAAAGGGCGUCGGCGCGAGUAGCAGCGGAAGGGUCUCAGGCGGCCAACAGACAAGCGCGACUGGACACAUGACACUGCUGCCGAACCCUCUUCUACCCGUGAAUCCUCCUGCGCCGGCGUCCUCUUCGUUCCGCACCGGGCGGCACACACCUCGUACGCCGCGACAGCUGCGCGUGUCGUCCUCUGGCAAUGGCGGCUCGCUCCGACGGGGGAGCGAGGGUGAUCGGCUUGCGAGUAAUGCCGCUGCGUACUCUUCAUCAACUGGCGCCUCUGCAUCGCAGUACCGCAACCGUGCUGACAGUCUGCCAGCUGCCGCUGCCGGCUCAGUGCCGGAACCGGCGGCAAGCGAGCCCCAAGACGUAUUUCUGCCUUCCGCUGCUUCUUCAGCUAUGGCGGCGGUUUUCACGCCGAGCAUGGGCCCUGCCGGCGUUUCUCUUCCGCGGCAGGGCAUCUCGGACCUGUCGCUCGCUGCCGCUGCCGCUCGCAACGGCGACGAGCAGGCGCACGUCGCCGUGCGCAUGGCGGAAGGGGAGAGCUUUGCCUACGCCUACCCGUUUACGGCGGGGACGAAAGUGGCUGUUGCGGACCUCGACGACCUCGAGGAAGACCGCUGCUACGCGCUUGGCUUCCAGCAGCGCAUCGGUACCACCGUUUACCUGUGGCGCGGUGCCGACGCAGUGGAGAGCUCGGCCGACGUUGUGGGCGCGUUUGUGCGUCACAUGCUAAGCUCCAGCGAGCCGGCGGUGCAGACCGCGGCAGUGGAGUCACUGGAGGCUGGUGAAUGGACUAACUGCAGCAUCAUCUUCCCUGGCGACAGUGCCAACGCUGCAGGCGUGGCGGAGAGGGCUGACGCGGUAACAGAGGUGCUUGCGGAUGUGCGUGCGCUGUACGUUGAGCAAGGCGACGAGCCGAAGGAGUUCUUCACUCUCCUGUGAAUAGCGACGACAGAGUCCGGUGUGAGAAAGGGAGGGGGCCACAGAGAGCGGGUUUAGAAGGUGCAGAGGCUCCAGUGAAGGCGCGUUCUCGUGGGUGAUGUGGUGCGGCAGCUCUUUUCCCUGCUUCCCUUCUCAGCACCUCGCUCUGCUGCAGCUGCCGUCGUAUUGGUCUGCUACUGUCAAGCGCCACCCCCCUUCCCACCACCUUCAUAUCUCGCACAUGUCGUCCAUGCAAUGACAACUGACAGGAGGGGUGUAGAGGGUUGGCGGCUGGUGGCUGGUGACUGGUGCUUGCACGCAUGGCUGGUUGGGAGAUGUGCCGGCUUGCGUGCGGCGAGCAGAGAUUUGCUAAAAGACAUGCUUUCCGUUUGUUUUGUUUGUUUCCUUUCGCGUCUCUCUUCCAACAUCCUUCUUGUGCGGCACAAGCAGACGCAACAGAAGAGGUCCUCCUCGAGCAGUGGGACGCGUGCCUGUGAUGAUGGUCAUCGUGGUGAUGGCGGGGCGCGUGAGAUG
rnacentral:misc_RNA from 1 species